ensembl:lncRNA
CAAUAAAACUUUAUUUGCAAAAACAGGUGGGGGGCCUAAUUCAGCCCAUGGACCAUAGCUUGCCAGCCCCUGGCCUAGAUCAUUGUCUCGUGCGUUAUAAAUGCUCAAUAAAGAUUUGUUGAAUGAAUUAAUUAGUGAAUAAUUGAAUGACUGAGGACAAGACAUCUGGUACAGUGCCUGGUGCACAGCUGGUACUCAAUAAGUGCUUAUUCCUUCCUUCCUGGUUUACGCUUAAUAAAUACAACAAGAUAGGCCAUGGUGUACUGUAUUAGAGGCACAAACAAGUUACCCCGGGAGCACUGGGAUGCAGCAGAGUUCUCCUCCUGGGAUGAGGGAAGACUUCAAGGGUGUCAAAAGCUGGGCUCCCCAAGAAGCAGGCCCUGAGUCAAGGAUCUAAAGGCACACAGUUUCUUGGAGAGGUGACCUCAGGAAACCCUGCUAGGAGAGUAGGGAAGUGAGAGAGGGAAGGGCAGGAAAGGAAUAUAAGGUCUGAUAAUGAACCAGCAGGUUACUGCUAAGGGUAACGGGGGGGGGGGCUCAAUCCCAGUGGGACCUCUCCCCUCACCCCACCCCUGCUUACGAGGCUCAGGCAUUUAUCCUCCAGUUUCCAUUCUCCAUCGGUAGAAGGAUACGCACAGAGGCAGCAGCAGCGCUUCCAGCCAGGUGACAGUGGAGGUGCUUGCAGCAGGAUGAUCUUAGCCUGUAUCCAGGGGCAGGAAGAGGGGACAUGGCAGGCCCUGAGGUGAUACUUGAGCUGGCUUUGCGAGAUAAACACACAGCUUCUUGUUCUUGUUUAAGAAACUGUUUUCAGGUCUUUGAUGCCCACAGCUAAGCUUAAUCCCAACAGGGACAGUCCCCAAGAGCUGUUCCAGCGGACAAACAAAGAACGUCUUCCGUCGCUUGCACCCAGUGGGAAAACUCUCUGGGAAGGACGCUGCAUGGUCCAACCUGGGUCAUAGGUCAGCAUCUGCAGUCAGGGGGCAAGGCGUUAUGAUGGGCAGCCCUCUGCCACCACCUGCAAUGGGGACGGCGUGGUUAGCAGCCCAGGAAGAAGAGGUGCGAGUCCCAGCAGCCAGGGGACUGGGCAGGUGGAAGCAAGGGCUCGCCCCCAGCAGCCGGGGCUCUUCUGUUUGUGACUUUUACUUUGUGGAUGACAAAUAAAACGCGCAGGGGAGCUACAGUUGAAUGAAACCGUUUCCAUGCCAAAGAGAACAAACCCCAGCACAGAGCUAUGGACUGGUUUGGAAACAUAAACAUGAAAAGUGCAUUUGGAUGUUUUUGAAGUGUGCAGUAUACGGAGUAACAUAUGUGACAGAAAAGAAAGUAAUCUAAACCCCAAAUAGUUAAAAAGCCAUUUAUUUGUCCCCUUUCGCCUGCCUGCCAUUCAAUGGGGAGGGGCCUUGGAGAAGUUAUUGAACCUCCCUGAGCCUCAGUUUCUUCACCUGUAAAAUGGGAACAGUGCGGAAUCAUUGCUCCCCGGCUUCCGAAGGUUAAAUGGAAUGAGGCAUAGGAAGCACAGGUCCCAGGGACGGGCCCACGGUGAGUUCUCAGUACAUAGUUUUGAUGAGAAUAAUGAUGAUGAUUUUUUUUUUUCCUCCCUGCGGGAAACUUCCCUGUGCAAAUCAUUCUUCUGUGGCCACCUAGAGGCCAGCUGGAGUUUUUCCACAGCUCCACAGGCAUUUUUUGCUCACCCCUGUCUCUCCAAGGGCCCCCCUUACCUCUGCUCCUCCAAACUAGAGGGGUCAUAUUCCAAAAAGACCCGGCAGGUGGGAAAGGCGCUCCAGAGAGGUGGAAUAGGGUGAGCAGAGGCAAGAAGCGGGACGUGGGGGCUGGAGGCACUGCUGUGGGAGGAGCUGGGGCAGGAGGGAGUGGGUGGUGUCCCCAACCCCAUCAGCAAGGCUUGCCAGUAACUUGGACCCCACAGAGCUGGAGCCAGAGCUGGGGAGGGCGUCUCGCUGGAAGCAUGCCCACGAUGCUGGGAAUCUGUUUCCAUCUGCUCAUUUCACUGCUGAGUUGUAAAGUGCUAAAUGUCAUUAUCCUCCCCUUCCUUAAACAAGAAAAAAAGUUAACAGCCUGAGAAAAGGAGAUAUUUCACUUCAUUUGGCAUCUAGCCACCGUCAUCCACACAGGGUGCUCCCUUGGGGGCUGAUUAGGGGCGGGAGAAGCCCUGUUCUGUUCUGCUUUCUUUCAGCUGCUGGCACCCGCUCUGUGCAGGCUCCAGGCAGGGCACUGGUGGCUGGAGGCCAGGUCAGAUCUCAGCCUGGCUGCAGGCAGAAUAGCCAGCCUCCUACUGAACAACUUAAACACUGUAAUAGGCGUCACAAUAGAAAGGGAGAAUGGGGGUCAGAGCAAAAUGAUUUGUCCAAGACCAGCCUGCUUAGGAGGGUCCGUUGUGUGUGGCAAAAGUGAACUUGAACCAAGACAUGGAAACGACAUAAAAGAAGGUUUCAACCCAGUAGAAAGACAAACUUAAAAGACUUGAAAUGUUAACAUGUGGACUGAUUCUCUCAAGAGGUAGUGAGCUGCCUGUCUGCCAGAGGCAUGCAAGUGGUUUAGAUACUCCUUUCAGAAUACUCACCACUGAGAGGAGUCCUGAGAGGCUGGAAGACUAAGGUUCUUUUCAAUACUGAGAUUCCAGAAACCGAUAAUUGAAAGAUUUCACCUGUUUUCAUCAUAUUUAGCAUGCUUUGCUCUUGCUGUCUAAAGAGGAAUUUCUAGCUGCCUGAUGUUGGCUGCUGGACAGAGAAAGAAAUGGGCAGGCAGCACAAGGUGUGAUUUAUCUUCAUGACUCCGAUUAUGGGGUCAUUGAGCCUUUUACCCUGCAGAGUUCCCCAAAGGAGCUCCUGCUGCUUCAGCUGGGUCGCAGUUGUCCUCCCAGCUGCCCUGCAGGCAGGGGCGUUCCUCAGGACUCAAAGCUAUAAUUGAAUACAGAUCAACUGCCCACUAGCCUCCCCCUACCAGCCAGAGCCACAGUCCUAGGGGAACUCCAGGCCUGACAUCAGCAGGGGCUUGCUGAAGAGGGGUGGCUAAUGCUGGCUUCCAAGCCCCAGGGACAGCCACUAUCCCCUCCCCAUUGGGCUGGAGAAAGGCCACUAACACAGGAUGAGUGUGACAAGCGUGCAGGGUCAGGUGGACAGCCCUGCCAGCUAACACUUCUGAGAGUCUCCACUGGUCUUCCGAAGUCCCCGCUGUGGCCCACAAGCCCCUGCAUGACCCCCUUGGCGUGCUCUAGACUGAAAUCCCUGAAGGUGUAGACAGGGUAUGUUUUGUUCUCCACAGUAGCCCCAGAGUUUGGCACUAGGCUGAUGUCUGGUAAAUGUUUUCUUUCUGGUUUUUGUUUUUGUUUUUGUGUUUUAGGGCUGCACCUGUGGCAUAUGGAGGUUCCCAGGCUAGGGGUUGAAUUGGAGCUACAGCUGCUGGCCUCCGCCAAAGCCAUGGCAAUAUCAGAUCUGAGCAGCAUCUGCAGCCUACACCACAGCUCACAGCAAUGCCAGAUCCUUAACCCACCGAGCAAGGCCAGGGAUCGAACCUGCAACCUCGUGGUUCCUAGUUGGAUUUGUUUCCACAGAGCCAUGACGGGAACUCCUGGGUAAAUGUUUAUUGAGUGAAUGAAUAGAAAGCCUGCAGUCCUCCUGGGCUUACCAGAAACAAAUUUGGGAAAGGAGGCGACCCUGAAAGGGCAGAGAACACUGGCCUGAGAGUCUGGAGUGGGGGUUCAAGUUUGUAUCUGUCAUUGAUUCAUUGCUUGACCUUGGGCAAGUCCCUGCUCUCUUGCCUCAGUUUCCCCACCUGGGCCUCAGCUUCCCAGCUGCAGAUUUGGGGACUUGGCCUAAGGUUGGAGAGGAGGUGGAAAGAAAGCCCAUGCUUUCUGCUUGCGCUCUAAGCUGCAAAAGUUCCUGGCCUCAACCUCAGCUUUUUUUUUUUUNNNNNNNNNNNNNNNNNNNNNNNNNNNNNNNNNNNNNNNNNNNNNNNNNNNNNNNNNNNNNNNNNNNNNNNNNNNNNNNNNNNNNNCCAGAGCCAUCGCCAGUUCCGAGCCUCAUCUACAACCAACACCACAGCUCACGGCAACACCGGAUCCUUAACCCACUGAGCAAGGCCAGGGAUCGAACCCGCAACCUCAUGGUUCCUAGUCGGAUUGGUUAACCACUGUGCCACGACGGGAACUCCCUCAACCUCAGCUCUUGUGGACCUGGUGAUGGAGUUGCCUGUUUGGGACCGAGGUAGCUGUGUCCCCACUGUGAGUUUACUCUGUUCAACCAUCAAAACUGAGCCUGUCUUAUGUGCCAAGCUCAGUGCAGGGCCAUGGAGCUGAAUUAGAUGUGGUCCCUGCUGUAGAGAACCAGGGUGGAGAGGGAAAAACAGAUGUGGUGACAUAAUUAUGAUGCAAGGAUAAGGGAAGAAAUGCAACGUGGUGGGACCCUGAGAGGGACCUGUGCACAGAAGGGUGUGAUUAGUGAGAGCUGGAGGAUUAGGCAAGACUUCCUGGAGGAGGUGCUUUGAGCUGAGCCCUCGGGAUAGAAAUUACAGAAAAGGAGCCAGUGGAGGCACAGGAUGUACAGUGGCACAGAAGCCAGGCAGUUUGGGAGCCGGGGGACUAGAAUACUGCAGGGAGGGAGCAGGGCAGUGACCUGUUGUGUUGGUGAUCACAGGCUCAACUUUAGAACAACCAGGAAGGGCGGUUCCCAGGAGACGGCACAUCACAAGGCAGGUCUGGUUCAAAGCCUGGCUCCUCCCUCAUUCAGUGUCUCAGCCUCUUGUGUAAAAUGAGGACCAUGGUGCCUAUGCCUCAGGGCUGGUGCGAGAACUUGAAUGAGUCUACGUGUAUAAAGUGCUUAGGACAUAACAGUCUCGGAAGUGGGGUUUCUUCUCUCUUCUUGGCUUUUGGCCAGCAUGCGGAUAACCCUCAGAAAAGCUCUAGGUGGUAUUUCUUUUUUUUAUUUUUGUUGUCUUUUUAGGGCCACACCCAAGGCAUAUGGAAGUUCCCAGGCCAGGGGUUGAAUCGGAGCUGAAGCUGCCAGCCUAUGCCACAGCCACAGCAACGCAGGAUCCGAGGCACAUUUGUAACCUACGCCACAGCUCACGGCAACGCCGGAUCCUUAACCCACUGAGCAAGGCCAGGGAUCAAACCUGUGUCCUCAUGAAUCCUAGUUGGGUUUGUUACCACUAAACCACCACAAGAACUCCAUAACUCUUUUUUAAAAAGAGGAGAAAGUGCAAAAUAAAUCACAAACCAUGGGUAGGGCCACAAGAAUCCAGCUUGGCCGUUCAAAGAGUUGCUGGCAAUCAGAGCCUAGGUCUCUGACAAUAAAACUCCAUAUCGAAGAUCUAUGACUAUGAUUCUUUUUUUUUUUUUUUUUUUUUUUUUUUUUUUUUUUUUUUGUCUUUUUGCCAUUUCUUGGGCCGCUCCCAUGGCAUAUGGAGGUUCCCAGGCUAGGGGUCGAAUCGGAGAUGUAGCCGCCGGCUUGUGCCAGAGCCACAGCAACAUGGGAUCCGAGCCACAGCUGCAACCUACACCACAGCUCACGGCAACGCCAGAUCCUUAACCCACUGAGCAAGGCCAGAAUCGAACCUGCAACCUCAUGGUUCCUAGUCAGAUUUGUUAACCAUUGAGCCACGACGAGAACUCCUAUGACUAUGAUUCUAAAAAUGUAAAAUUCCAAGAUUUUCUUCAAUCUCUUGUAGAACGUUCGAGAUUGGGUGCAGGUGGCACUGCCUGAUGGGUGGGGCCCCUAAGUGCCCCCAAGAACAGGGAGGUCAGGCAAAAUUUCUACGGAUGGGCUUUAUUUCAGGGAGUUUGGAGGCCUUUCAGCCCAAGUUGACCAAGGAUGAGGCCUGCUGGAAGACUGCUAGAGAGGCAGGAAAGAGCCCUAGCAGCCAGGCGUAGACCACCGCCCUGCCCUUACCGGCUUCUGGGGGUGCCCUCUGCCCUAGCCAGAGCUGCUCUGCUGUGAGACCUGAAAUUUACUCCAGUGAGUAAAAGGGGCCUUAUGGCAGGGCGAGAGACUCCAAAGACAGGCACUCAGGCCUCAGAGAUUUCCCACGGGGACUAGAAAGCCACCAAAAUGAAGGCAAUUAUCUUCCGCAUCUCCUAGGAGCCUCGCAUCCAUCUUAUUUCCGCAUCCAUCUUAUUUGCACAAUUUGGUCCUUCCACUGUCAGUUUCCCAGUGGCCCCUCACGUCUG